UGCCUCCCAAAAAGCUAAAGAUGAAGAACGUCAGGUUCUUUUUCAGCAAAAGUGAGAAUCCAGGCAGCAGCAGCUCGACCACCCCAGAGAAUUCACAGCCUGAUGCCUCUCAGGGAGAGAUGCAAGGGAACGAGAAGAACUGAGAUGUCUUUUCCUCUGAAGAAUCGUCAGUUUCUGAUCACAGCUGGAUACGGGGAAACUGUUCCGAGUACAACAGCAGUCCUGAUAAAUCCUCGGUUUCCUAUGCAGUUUGUCCGGCCAACUUCAGUUUAAGUUUUGACACUUGAUAUUUACUGCAGUUACAUUAGUGCAUGCGUGGAAAUGUUUAAAAUGACUGAAGUCAUCCACUCUGUAAAUAAAACAAACCGUAUGCUGCUCUGGCAGAAUGAGUUUAUAUUUGUGUCAUUAUGUGAAUCUGCAUUUAUUGAUAUGGCGAUUGUAAACUCAUUAACACAAAAUGAUUGGUGUGGGAUACAUUAGGCUAAA